rnacentral:piRNA from 1 species
UGCCAGGUAAAUCAUUGAGUUCAGUGUAG